GAUGAACGCUGGCGGCGUGCCUAAUACAUGCAAGUCGAGCGAACGGACGAGAAGCUUGCUUCUCUGAUGUUAGCGGCGGACGGGUGAGUAACACGUGGAUAACCUACCUAUAAGACUGGGAUAACUUCGGGAAACCGGAGCUAAUACCGGAUGAUAUUUUGAACCGCAUGGUUCAAAAGUGAAAGACGGUCUUGCUGUCACUUAUAGAUGGAUCCGCGCUGCAUUAGCUAGUUGGUAAGGUAACGGCUUACCAAGGCAACGAUGCAUAGCCGACCUGAGAGGGUGAUCGGCCACACAGGAACUGAAACACGGUCCAGACUCCUACGGGAGGCAGAAGUAGGGAAUCUUCCACAAUGGGCGAAAGCCUGACGGAGCGACGCCGCGUGAGUGAUGAAGGUCUUCGGAUCGUAAAACUCUGUUAUUAGGGAAGAACAUAUGUGUAAGUAACUGUGCACAUCUUGACGGUACCUAAUCAGAAAGCCACGGCUAACUACGUG
rnacentral:rRNA from 1 species